rnacentral:rRNA from 1 species
UACGUAGGGGGCAAGCGUUGUCCGGAUUUAUUGGGCGUAAAAAGCGUGUAGGCGGCCAGGUAGGUCUGCUGUGAAAACUCGAGGCUUAACCUCGAGCUGUCGGCGGAAACCAUCUGGCUAGAGUCCGGAAGAGGAGAAUGGAAUUCCCGGUGUAGCGGCGAAAUGCGCAGAUAUCGGGAAGAACACCCGUGGCGAAGGCGGUUCUCUGGGACGGUACUGACGCUGAGACGCGAAAGCGUGGGGAGCGAACAGG